GGAGACGUGCGAGAGCGGACUAAUCGGCACGCCUGGAGAGCGUGUGACCCUUCGGGGUCCAAGGGUUCGAAUCCCUUCGUCUCCG
rnacentral:tRNA from 1 species